rnacentral:rRNA from 1 species
GACGGAGGGUGCAAGCGUUGUUCGGAAUUACUGGGCGUAAAGCGCGGGCAGGUGGCCCUUUAAGUCCUUUGUGAAAUUCCGGAGCUCAACUCCGGAUGUGCAUAGGAUACUGGAAGGCUAGAGACUGGUAGAGGCGAGCGGAAUUCCUGGUGUAGCGGUGAAAUGCGCAGAUAUCGGGAGGAACACCAGAGGCGAAGGCGGGUUACUGGGCUGAUACUGACGCUGAAUCACGAAAGCUAGGGGAGCAAACGGG